rnacentral:rRNA from 1 species
UUUUGUUGGAGAGUUUGAUCCUGGCUCAGGACGAACGCUGGCGGCGUGCUUAACACAUGCAAGUCGAGCGGAAAGGCCCUUCGGGGUACUCGAGCGGCGAACGGGUGAGUAACACGUGAGCAACCUGCCCUAGGCUUUGGGAUAACCCUCGGAAACGGG